GAUGAACGCUGGCGGCGUGCCUAAUACAUGCCAGUCGAGCGAACAGAUGAGGAGCUUGCUCCUCUGACGUUAGCGGCGGACGGGUGAGUAACACGUGGAUAACCUACCUAUAAGACUGGGAUAACUUCGGGAAACCGGAGCUAAUACCGGAUAAUAUAUUGAACCGCAUGGUUCAAUAGUGAAAGACGGUUUUGCUGUCACUUAUAGAUGGAUCCGCGCCGCAUUAGCUAGUUGGUAAGGUAACGGCUUACCAAGGCAACGAUGCGUAGCCGACCUGAGAGGGUGAUCGGCCACACUGGAACUGGGACACGGUCCAGACUCCUACGGGAGGCAGCAGUAGGGAAUCUUCCGCAAUGGGCGAAAGCCUGACGGAGCAACGCCGCGUGAGUGAUGAAGGUCUUCGGAUCGUAAAACUCUGUUAUUAGGGAAGAACAAAUGUGUAAGUAACUAUGCACGUCUUGACGGUACCUAAUCAGAAAGCCACGGCUAACUACGUG
rnacentral:rRNA from 1 species